CUCUCCGCUGACACAGGUUCAAGUCCUGCCGCAGUGCCCCUGAGCAACAUCAGGAGGAGGAGGAUGUCGGUCAGAUCCCGCAGCCCCAUCAGCCCACAGUGGUCCCUGGAUCCACUGGGAUCUACUGUGUUCUCUGAGGACCUGAAGAGGAUCUACUGGAUCCUGAUGGUCUCAAAGUGAAUCACGAACAGAGAUCUAAACAGGAAGUGAUCUGUGAUCACUGUCGUCUGAAAAACCAACAUCUCCUACUUACAAGGUCUUAGCCGACACCGGCGCCGACGUGCGCUCACCCUACUCCUGCCUUUAGCCAAUCAGAGGAGGGCGAGGCAAAGGAGGGCCGUGUGAUGUCAACAGAACGCCAGGGGUUCACGUGCAGCAGGUCAGUGAAUGCCUCAUGAAGAGAAGGACCUGAACACAACACACAGGUGAUUUAUUCAGCACAGUCAUGUGAUGUCCUCUGAUAUGAUAAUGUGGUGGGCGUGUCCUUCUGAUCCCACAGCAGUGAUUGGUGGAGGAGCUGCAGGUUCAACAGAUGAAUGAGUGAACACAGGAAGCUGUGUGAGCGCUGGAGCUGCAUGUUAAAUAAAGUUUGGUGUGUUUGAACAAAGGCUGUUGGCAGCGGUCUGAUGCAGCGUUCACUGUCGCCUGGUUCAUCUGGACUUUAGGUCUCCUAGGACCUGUUACCAGGCAACCAGCAGCCAUACCCCACGACCGCUUUGUUUAUCAGGAGACGACAGGAAGAAAGAAAGAAAAGAAUCUGACCUGAACCUUUAAAGCUCCAGUCUGACAGUUUAUCGUCAUGACAACAUGAAAACACAGACUCUGUUCAGUUGAUCCUGAGAUCAGAUCAUUGAUCAUUGAUCACUGAUCACUGAUCGUCAGGUCUGAUUGAUGGAUCCUCAGGUAGGAGCAGCUCCUCAGAGUCUGAACUUCUGUUUCAGCAGCUGUGACGUCAUCGUCCCUGUCAAAAUGGCCGCCACCAAGCUCCUCCUCUUCCUGGGCGAAGACGUCGUUGACUGACGGACGACGUCAGGUGAGCGGGGUGACAGGGUGGUGAUGAGUUCAGAGACACAGUCAGCAUGUCAAUAACAACAAACAACGACAAACAAUAAACAACAACAAUGAACAAUAAACAACAACAAACAAUAACAAUAAACAACAACAAUAAACAAUAAGUUUGGACAGGAUUACAUGCAUAGUCCUAACAGUAAGAGUAGUAGUAGUAGUAGUAGUAGUUUUAGUAGUAGUAUUAGUAGUAGUGGUAAUAGUAGUAUUAGUAUUAGAAUUAGUAUUAGUAGUAGUAGUAGGUUUAGUAGUAUUAGUAUUAGUAUUAGUAUUAGUAGUAGUGAUAAUAGUAGUAGUAGUAGUAGUAGUAUUAGUAGUAAUAGUAGUAUUAGUAGUAGUAGUAGUAGUAGUAGUAGUAAUAGUAG